UCCGGGUGGAUCCUGCCGGACCUGACUGCUAUCGGAUUGGUACUAAGCCAUGCGAGUCAUUGUAGCAAUACAAGGCGGACGGCUCAGUAACACGUAGUCAACCUAACUCGUGGACGUGGAUAACCUCGGGAAACUGAGAAUAAACCACGAUAGACCAUAGUGCCUGGAAUGGCUUAUGGUCCAAACAGUUUACUGCCAUGGGAUGGGACUGCGGCCUAUCAGCUUGUUGGUGAGGUAAUGGCCCACCAAGGCGAUUACAGGUACGGGCUCUGAGAGGAGAAGCCCGGAGAUGGGUACUGAGACACGGACCCAGGCCCUAUGGGGCGCAGCAGGCGAGAAACCUUAGCAAUGUGCGAAAGCACGACUGGGUCAGUCCGAGUGAUUCCUGAUAAAGGAGUCUUUUGCUUGUCCUAAAAGCACAGGUGAAUAAGGGGUGGGCAAGUCUGGUGUCAGCCGCCGCGGUAAUACCAGCACCUCGAGUGGUCAGGACGUUUAUUGGGCCUAAAGCAUCCGUAGCCGGCUUUGCAAGUCUUCGGUUAAAUCCACCUGCUCAACAGAUGGGCUGCUGGAGAUACUACAAAGCUAGGGAGUGGGAGAGGCAGACGGUAUUCAGUGGGUAGGGGUAAAAUCCUCUGAUCCAUUGAGGACCACCAGUGGCGAAGGCGGUCUGCCAGAACACGUUCGACGGUGAGGGAUGAAAGCUGGGGGAGCAAACCGGAUUAGAUACCCGGGUAGUCCCAGCUGUAAACGAUGCAAACUCGGUGAUGCAUUGGCUUAUGGCCAAUGCAGUGCCGCAGGGAAGCCGUUAAGUUUGCCGCCUGGGAAGUACGGACGCAAGUCUGAAACUUAAAGGAAUUGGCGGGGGAGCA
rnacentral:rRNA from 1 species